UUACAUGACACUAACAAACGUCAAUGCAACUUUUGCUCUUGAAUAAAUUAUGCAAAUUGACCACCAUAUUGAAAAUGAGUUAUCGUUCUUUGCCCACGCUUCGAUUCGUCUAGCUAACUGCGCAACUAAAAAUAGUAUAGGUAAUUUCCGAAUGAAGUAUGCGCAGUUAUUGCCCUUUGAUAACUCUUUUUUAACUCUAACGUGACAUGCAAACAGCAAAGAAAUCGGUUAAUAUUUGGAAUUUUGGCGAUUUUUUUUAAAGUUAUGGUAGGUUAAAAAAAGGGAUUUACAUAUUAAAGAUGCAAAAAUUAAACAAGUUUAGACAAUUAUGUGCAAUUUCUUCAGAUUUUGUGACAAUUGUUUGAAAUUAUUUAGGCUUUCUACUUUCGAUUUCGCAAAGGUUCAUUAUGCGUCGUUCUAUGGAUUUUUGCGUCGAUCACCCCAAUUGAGAUUGGGUGUUCGUUCAUGAUUGGAUGUUUCUGUCUGAUUAAAGGUUGUUUUUUUACAUUUCAGAAAUUGCUAGAUCUGAAUUAUUACUUUGUAACGAAAUAUAUGUAUGCAUAUAUCUGAUACACAGUGCAGCGACUGCCAGUGCAAUGUGAUCAUCUUCAUCUGCAUCAAACGCCCUAGUUCUGUUUACCUCCAAACAAGUAUGACCCUCUGCUGGAAAAAAGUCACCAUUGAUCAAUUCUAAGUCCCUUCUUUUCCUACUCGAUUUCCCCCUCUCUAAAUUUAUCGAUUUAAAGGGCAACACUUUAAAAUUCUCCAUAAUUUGUACGUACAGUGCAGUUUCGCUACUAGCUACUACUUCAAUUAAGACGCGUGCAACGUUCGUACUUGAUACGUUUACAAUAUUGUUUAUUUUGAUAUGCUAAUCAAGGUGCGCUUGCGCACUUGCGCUCUUCCGGAAGGAGCAUAGUAAGUGUAGAGAACGUUUGUUAGUGCAUGAUACGACGUACUCUGCUUUAUGCAAAACCAUAGGCCUAUGUAUUUUUAUUCUGUAUAUAUCUGUGUGUAUACGUCUGAAAAGUUCAAAACUAUUGAAAUGGUUUUGUUUUCUAAGGGUGGUAUGUGAUACAAUUCUCGCAGACAAAGAACUCAGCCCCCCUGGUAUAGGCCUAGUAAAAUCACAUCAAUUAGAGGAAACAGGGGAAACGAGGGAGGAGAAAGUCCAAGCACCUUAGACAGAUGGUGUCAUGUAUCAUAUGGAGAUAUUGAAUUUGAAAGUGCAUUUGCCAUUACACCAUUGGGGAUGGACAACAUAGACAUUCAUGAUUGUGAAAGCCAUAAACACAAAGACUGGAACCAUGUACUGUGCUGUUAAAGAAAAUAGACUAUCUAAGUAGACGUCAAGUGCAUUAUUUCAUUUAAUUCAAAAGUCAACAUUGUGUAAUUUUUUUCGUGGAUGACAUUGAUUAUUUGAUCUGAAUUUGCAAAAAUUGGAUUGAGUGGGAAUAAGUGCUGUGAUUUCAAAUGAAAACCAUGAUAGACACAUUGCUUUUUCAUCCAGAUGUAAGUAAAAUCAUAAAUGCAUAUUGAAAAUUCAGUUUAUUGGAAAUGACUGUGACUUGUGGGUAAUUGUUUUUUUAUUAUUUAUAAUUAAAAAACUUAUAUUAUUGGGAACAGUAUAAAUCUAUGGCUAAUUCUCUAAAUUUGAAGUGUUUUUUAUGCAUAUUAAAUCAAUAUAAAUUGA